UACGGAGGAUCCAAGCGUUGUCCGGAUUUAUUGGGUUUAAAGGGUGCGUAGGCGGAUAAUUAAGUCAGUGGUGAAAUCUUGCGGCUCAACCGUAAAAUUGCCAUUGAAACUGAUUAUCUUGAGUACAGUUGAGGUGGGCGGAAUGUAUCAUGUAGCGGUGAAAUGCUUAGAUAUGAUACAGAACACCUAUUGCGAAAGCAGCUCACUAAACUGCAACUGACGCUGAGGCACGAAAAGCGUGGGGAGUCAAACAGGA
rnacentral:rRNA from 1 species